rnacentral:miRNA from 1 species
CUAUUGGGUUGGCCAAAAAGUUUGUUCAGGUGUUUACAUAAGAUGUUAUGACAACCCUGAAUGAACUUUUUGGCCAACCCCAUA